UACGGAGGAUGCGAGCGUUAUCCGGAUUUAUUGGGUUUAAAGGGUGCGCAGGCGGUCUGUUAAGUCAGCGGUCAAAGCCCGGGGCUCAACCCCGGCCCGCCGUUGAAACUGGCAGUCUCGAGUUGGAGAGAAGUAUGCGGAAUGCGCGGUGUAGCGGUGAAAUGCAUAGAUAUCGCGCAGAACUCCGAUUGCGAAGGCAGCUUACAAAUCUAUAUCGGACGCUGAGGCACGAAAGCGUGGGGAGCAAACAGG
rnacentral:rRNA from 1 species